GGGUUCCUCCACACCAGCAAAGACAAAACCAGCUUUAUCUGAACCCAGCCCACGAGUGACCUCUGAGUUGAUGAGACUAACCACCCUUGACUCUGGAUGUGAGCAAAAAUUGACUGUUACUUGCUUUUGGCUUAUCAAGUGACUCCUCAUCUGUCCAUGAAUGGCUAGUGGGAAGCUACAGUGAAUAUUCAGAAGUCAGGCAUGCAGGUGUAAAUAACAUUUUAGGAGCAAAUUUCUCAGCUUUGGCAAGGUACACCAAUGCUGGUAAAUGGAAGCACUUCCAAGCAGUGUGGGAUUCCCUGUGGGCAUUUCCCUUUGCUCCUCCAUUCCUUGGCUUGACACAUCUGUUCAGGAAGACUGCACACCUGAGUGACUCCACGGAAGCACAAAAGGCUGGUGAACACAGCACAGAGCACAGAGGUGAUUUAUGUGCGCUGGCUUAAUAGCAACUUUUUGGCUGUUCAGUUGUCUGGGCUGCUGAAGUCCAGAAAAGCUGUUGCUGCAAUGAAAACCAGAAAAAGCCAAGAUUUUCACAUGAGAGGUGAGAUCAGAUUGUAUUUGUAUGGGAAAUCUACAUUAUAUGGAACAACUGUCAAAUCCAGCUACCACCCCGCUGCUCGUGGGAGUAUUUUCACAUUGGCUUCUAUGACUUAAAAUAACACUUGAUGGUGGAAAAGGUCACAAGAGGAGACUAGUAACUGCAUGCUCUCACCUUCACAGUCCUCCUCAAGAAUCCUUCUUUACCACAAAGCCUUAAACAAGACCCUUAGGACUUAUUUCAGAUAUGUUGUCUCUCUGCAGCAUUUCUGCAAGCUUGUUGCUUACUGCUGCAUUCCCCCCACAUUCACCAUUUUUCCUUCAGCCUCAUGACUGGUGUCAAGGGCAGCCUGCCUUGUGGAGAGAGAUGUCCUUCCCUGCUUUGUGUAGACCAUUGUGCAUCCCUGUCCUUUCCUGCAGGAAUUAAACUGCGGUAACCAAUUUUUUUUUUUUUCCCCUGCAGCAGUGUUAAACUACAUAUUUCUCUCAAUCAUAGAAUCAAGGAGUGGUUUGGGUUGGAAAGGACCUUAAAGAGCAUCUUAUUCCACUGUCCUGCCUUGUUCCUCUAAAACAUGUUGCUCCAAGCCCUGUCCAAUCUGACCUUGAACACUUCCAGGGAUGGGGUAUCACCUGACACUCAAGAAGAUGUGGAAUCAUUUUCUUGACUUUUUUUAAGGUUAGUUUUGUCCAAAUUAGUGCUAAUUCUGUAACAGGGACAUUCUCUAACGAUGAGAAUAAAUUUCUAAAUAGAAAGGCCUCUCCCUGGCACCUUGUAGCAUGGGAAAAACGUCAGGAUGACACAAGUUAACACACACAAAAACCUCGUUGAAUUCAGCAUUGUCCUUCUUACAAUUCAGCUGCAUUUUCUUCUGUACCAGACAAAACCCUGACUCUAAAUUCUACAUAUUAUAAAUCAACUGGUACCUGAAUUCAUCUACCAUGAAAUUCCCCAGGCUACCAGGGAACUAGACUUUGGGUAGCAGAUAUCCUCAGUAGCAUCUCUUUGAUCCAGCUGACAAGGGCAAGGAUAGUGUAUUUCCACAUGCUUAUGCCAUUGGCUAAUAUGAUGAGGAUAAUCCUGAUCCCAACAAAAACACUCCAUGCAAAUGUGGCAUAAAACCUUUGUGAAGGGCAGGUAACAGUGACAAAAUUCCUCAUUGCCUCUGCAAACUGGACUGCAUCUAACAAAUGUGGCAAGAGUCCCUGCAGUGACUCGGAGCCUGACAACUGUGCAGCUGACAGCAUUUCAUCUGUGUCUCCUCCUCAGAAGACAUCAUUUGUUUCCAGGGCAAAAUGCAAGGGCUUUGAACAUUUUUUCUGAGGCCUUGUGGGUGUUCUGUACAGAUAGAGGGAUUUCUUUCUUACAAAGAAUUAAAUUUAUUUAUGAUAUUACAUAACGAGUGACAUAUAAAUCUCAACAUCAAAAAUAACUGCUCUUUUAUGGCCUUCAGACACAUGUGCAACACCUCACCUGAAGCCAAAUAAACUCUGUGGUUGGCUUCAUAUUGCAGUAGUUAUUCUUGGGUUUGAGACAGUCUGCAAUAUCCAUUUCAUAUGGAUUCUGUAUUACCUCUGGUGUUUAAAAAGAUGGUACUACCUCCUCUCAGAUCUGCUCUUCCUCAUCUUAAUAUAGGUGUUGAGAAUUCCUUGGCAAGGCAAGGAAUGCCUGCAAUUUGCCCAUUGUAAGCAGGAAACUGAGGGCACGAUGGCAGGGUGUGCUCCACAGGUUUAGCAACAGAGGCUAAUGAAAAGCAUUUUUCCAAGUGCAUUGAUCAAUUUAACUAGAUGCUAUUAAAUAACAGAACAAAAAUAAAAGCUUUUGGUCUACAGCUUCAAAGCUGUAGUCAUACUUAAUAUAAUGCAGGCCCAAAAUAAGAGUCAGAAAACUAGUAUUUAUUCCGGAAACAUAUAAAAUACUUCUGCUGCAGGAUUUGCUUCUUUACUGUAAAGUAAUUUUUUCCAGAGACCAAAUUUUACGUUCUGAUGGAAGCUGCCCCCAAUAAAAAAGGGGCAUAGUCAGUAUACAUAUCGUGAUUAGAGCAAGUGGCCCUCUCACAGCAUUUGAGAUGGGAGGAAUUCAACAUCUUUGACUUCCAGAGUCUUAGCUAAGCCAGGUCCUUCUCUGUUUCCAGCUUCAAACUGUUGCCUCAAGAGUAUAGUCUAUAUCUUAAUUUGAUGGAGAAUUCUUUAAAACAAGUUCUGCAUAGCUUUAUUUUCAGGUGUAAUUGGAUCUAGGUGGAGUGUUUCCCUUCUUGUAGUUCCCUAAAGCUGUACUAAGAAAAAUAAAUGUUGUUUAGACUCUAAACUGUCUGGGGGGAAAGCUGCAUCUUUAAGGGAUCUGCCUGUUGUUCACAGAAUUAGGUAGAUCAGAUGAGUUGAAGAUAGAAUAUUCAUGAGUAAUCGGGGGGGGGGGGAAAUCCUAAAUUUUAUAAUCUGUAUAAGAAUUGGCUGGGUGGUUGAACUCUGAGUGUUUUCCCUGUGAGGGUGGCGAUGCCCUGGCACAGAGCAGCUGUGGCUGCCCCAUCCCUGGCAGUGCCCGAGGGCAGGUUGGAUGGUGCUGGGGGUACCCUGGGGUAGUGGCUGGGCUUUAAGGUCCCCUCCAACUCAAACCUCAUUGUGAUUUGAUGAUGAUUGUCUAAUAAAGCUUUCUAUAGUGU
rnacentral:lncRNA from 1 species